CCUACGGGUGGCUGCAGUGGGGAAUAUUGGACAAUGGGGGCAACCCUGAUCCAGCCAUGCCGCGUGUGUGAAGAAGGCCCUCGGGUUGUAAAGCACUUUCAGUGAGGAAGAACGCCUGGUGGUUAAUACCCAUCAGGAAAGACAUCACUCACAGAAGAAGCACCGGCUAACUCCGUGCCAGCAGCCGCGGUAAUACGGAGGGUGCGAGCGUUAAUCGGAAUUACUGGGCGUAAAGCGCGCGUAGGUGGCUUGAUAAGCCGGUUGUGAAAGCCCCGGGCUCAACCUGGGAACGGCAUCCGGAACUGUCAAGCUAGAGUGAAGGAGAGGAAGGUAGAAUUCCCGGUGUAGCGGUGAAAUGCGUAGAGAUCGGGAGGAAUACCAGUGGCGAAGGCGGCCUUCUGGACUGACACUGACACUGAGGUGCGAAAGCGUGGGUAGCAAACAGGAUUAGAUACCCUAGUAGUC
rnacentral:rRNA from 1 species